AUUGAACGCUGGCGGCAGGCCUAACACAUGCAAGUCGAGCGAGCGGCGGACGGGUGAGUAAUGUGUGGGAAACUGCCCGAUAGAGGGGGAUAACUACUGGAAACGGUGGCUAAUACCGCAUACUAUCAGAUGACCCCAUAUGGGAUUAGCUAGUGGGUGGGGUAACGCCUCCCCUAGGCGACGAUCUCUAGCUGGUCUGAGAGGAUGACCAGCCACACUGGAACUGAGACACGGUCCAGACUCCUACGGGAGGCAGCAGUGGGGAAUAUUGCACAAUGGGCGCAAGCCUGAUGCAGCCAUGCCGCGUGUAUGAAGAAGGCCUUCGGGUUGUAAAGUACUUUCAGCGGGGAGGCGUUACCCGCAGAAGAAGCACCGGCUAACUCCGUGCCAGCAGCCGCGGUAAUUC
rnacentral:rRNA from 1 species